UCCCUGGUGGCUCAGAGGUUAAAGUGUCUGCCUACAAUGCAGGAGAUCUGGGUUCGAUCCCUGGGUCGGGAA
rnacentral:tRNA from 1 species